rnacentral:rRNA from 1 species
UGGGGAAUAUUGGACAAUGGGCGAAAGCCUGAUCCAGCCAUGCCGCAUGAGUGAAGAAGGCCUUUGGGUUGUAAAGCUCUUUUAGUGAGGAAGAUAAUGACGGUACUCACAGAAGAAGUCCUGGCUAACUCCGUGCCAGCAGCCGCGGUAAUACGGAGAGGGCUAGCGUUAUUCGGAAUUAUUGGGCGUAAAGGGCGCGUAGGCUGGUUAAUAAGUUAAAAGUGAAAUCCCGAGGCUUAACCUUGGAAUUGCUUUUAAAGCUAUUAAUCUAGAGAUUGAAAGAGGAUAGAGGAAUUCCUGAUGUAGAGGUAAAAUUCGUAAAUAUUAGGAGGAACACCGGUGGCGAAGGCGUCUAUCUGGUUCAAAUCUGACGCUGAAGCGCGAAGGCGUGGGGAGCAAACA